rfam:Flavobacterium succinicans strain DD5b FLB_contig000060, whole genome shotgun sequence.
GUCUAGCCCUGAUGGGAGCGGCAUCCUUUUUUUCCUGGCUGGCCGUUUUACAAACGGUGAGCUAGGAAAAAAAGAUAUAGCGUACAGCAGGACAACUC